rnacentral:rRNA from 1 species
GACGAACGCUGGCUGCGUGCUUAACACAUGCAAGUCGAACGGAAAGGCCCUGCUUUUGUGGGGUGCUCGAGUGUCGAACGUGUAAGUAACACGUGAGUAACCUGCCCUUGACUUUGGUAUAACUUCAGGAAACUGGGGCUAAUACCGGGUAGGAGCUCCUGCUGCAUUGUGUGGGUUGGAUAGUUUCGGCGGUUGGGGAUGGACUCGCGGCUUAUCAGCUUGUUGGUGGGGUAGUGGCUUACCAAGGCUUUGACGGGUAGCCGGCCUGAGAGGGUGACCGGCCACAUUGGGACUGAGAUACGGCCCAGACUCCUACGGGAGGCAGCAGUGGGGAAUAUUGCACAAUGGGCGGAAGCCUGAUGCAGCAACGCCGCGUGCGGGAUGACGGCCUUCGGGUUGUAAACCGCUUUCGCCUGUGACGAAGCGUGAGUGACGGUAAUGGGUAAAGAAGCACCGGCUAACUACGUG